UACGAGGGAUGCAAGCGUUAUCCGGAAUUAUUGGGCGUAAAGCGUUCGUAGGUGGCUAUGUAAGUCUGUCGUUAAAGCAUGGAGCUCAACUCCAUAAGGGCGAUGGAAACUGUAUGGCUGGAGUGUGGUAGGGGUAAGAGGAAUUCCCAGUGUAGCGGUGAAAUGCGUAGAUAUUGGGAAGAACACCAGCGGCGAAAGCGUCUUACUGGGCCACAACUGACACUGAGGGACGAAAGCUAGGGGAGCGAAAGGG
rnacentral:rRNA from 1 species